rnacentral:rRNA from 1 species
UACGUAGGUGGCAAGCGUUGUCCGGAUUUACUGGGCGUAAAGCGUGCGCAGGCGGUAAUGUAAGACAGAUGUGAAAUCCCCGGGCUCAACCUGGGAACUGCAUUUGUGACUGCAUUGCUGGAGUGCGGCAGAGGGGGAUGGAAUUCCGCGUGUAGCAGUGAAAUGCGUAGAUAUGCGGAGGAACACCGAUGGCGAAGGCAAUCCCCUGGGCCUGCACUGACGCUCAUGCACGAAAGCGUGGGGAGCAAACAGG